GACGAACGCUGGCGGCGUGCUUAAUACAUGCAAGUCGAGCGGGCCUCUUCGGAGGCCAGCGGCGGACGGGUGAGUAACACGUGGGCAACCUGCCUGUAAGACUGGGAUAACACCGGGAAACCGGUGCUAAUACCGGAUAAUCCUUUCCUUCACAUGAGGGGAAGCUGAAAGACGGCAUCUCGCUGUCACUUACAGAUGGGCCCGCGGCGCAUUAGCUAGUUGGUGAGGUAACGGCUCACCAAGGCGACGAUGCGUAGCCGACCUGAGAGGGUGAUCGGCCACACUGGGACUGAGACACGGCCCAGACUCCUACGGGAGGCAGCAGUAGGGAAUCUUCCGCAAUGGACGAAAGUCUGACGGAGCAACGCCGCGUGAGCGAAGAAGGCCUUCGGGUCGUAAAGCUCUGUUGUCAGGGAAGAACAAGUACCGGAGUAACUGCCGGUGCCUUGACGGUACCUGACCAGAAAGCCACGGCUAACUACGUGCCAGCAGCCGCCGUAACAC
rnacentral:rRNA from 1 species